rfam:Omnitrophica WOR_2 bacterium RIFCSPHIGHO2_02_FTLL_48_11 rifcsphigho2_02_scaffold_12525, whole genome shotgun sequence.
GGAGAGGUGGCUGAGUGGUUGAAAGCGGCGGUCUUGAAAACCGUUGGGGAUGCAAGUCCCUCCUGAGUUCGAAUCUCAGCCUCUCCG